rnacentral:lncRNA from 1 species
GCCAUUGUGUUUAAUUUUUCAUUCAUUCUCUCUUAAGUCAAUCGAUUUGAAACAAUAUGGUUUCACUAAUUUGUUCUAACAAUGUAUGCGGCUCUUAUGAUCGUGCUGGUAUCAAGAAUAUUUGUGGAAAGUGUUUUAUGGAAAGUCACAAAGAAGAUUUUCAAAGACUCUUCAAACGUGAAGAUGAAAAGUAUCAUAAAUCAGAAGAAAUUGAAAGUCAAAUUGUGGAUAACUUUAAUAUAUGCGCUACUAUGGCUACUAUAACUCUCAAUGACUCUCCGGACAUGAAGAUGAAUAUUAAG